UUCCCAAGGCCUCCCAGGGCCCACGUGAGGCGAACUGGCCUAUGGGGGAAGGCCAGGCAGAGGCGCUCCUGGGAAGUGGGCGAGGUUCUUGGGGACAGUGGGCGGGACAAGAGAGGCCACCUGCAGACACACCCUGGCUUCAGAGCGACCGUCUUCCCUUCCCCCUCCGGGCCUAGUGUAGACCCACACGCGGGAUCUCCGAGCUCUAGGGUCCUUUUACCUAGCAUUGUCAGGCCUGGGAACAGAACUUCAUGUUCUUGUAAAAAGUCUUCUCAGUUGUUUUAGAGACUUGGAGAGGAAUGGGAAAAAAACGAAAACCGAGAACGGUUGAGCCAAGAGAAGUCGGGCCUUCUAGGAAGCCUACCGCGCCAAACCGAAGGAGACCAAAAACAGACGGGAGGACUGAAGAUGAAGCAGGCAAAAAGUCUUCAGCCACGGCUCUUGUACGGUUUGUUUCUCCUCUCCUAAGCCUUCAUCCCUGUCUUCGAGGACAAAGAAGUUACCAGGGAAAUUGAUGAUAGGCCUGGCUGUCAUUGAGAAUGCUCUUGAUUAAGUUGGUGAUAGAAAAUGGGAAAACAGAAGACAACCACUUUAUAAAACCCUUGUCUGCUUGUAUUUGUGGUGCUGGCCAGGCUUACGAAGAUUUGUGUAUAAAGCAAAAAACAAUAAUUUGGGUUGUCAAAGAUAUGAAGCAAAGCAAAGGGCAGUAGUAUAUAAUACUAAGAAAUCAAGAUUCUUGCUGAGAAUCGUGGCGAUCACCACAGUCCCCAGUUUGGCUUCAGACAGAAAUAAGAAGUUCACCGUGUGGUUUGUCCAAAUAUAUUAAAGGAGCUGCCACAUCUCCUGAUGACCUUGCUUCUGAUGGCUCUGGAUCCUGGUAUGUUCUCCCUGUGGACCAACAGCUGUCAGAAGACAGCACAGGAAGUGAGGGGGCAGGAUCUCCACUCUUCCAAGUUUCUUUGUUUUUACUUAGAACUUGGGCCCCACCUUUGCGUACUGCUAAGAUUCAUGGGGAAGAAGCUGGUAGAUGCACUACUUUCUUCGAAACGUUGGCCGCAUGGUGGCAGUAGGGCUCCAGAUACCGCCAGAACCGCCAUCUUUAUAGCUUCUCCCGCCCUUCUUUGUUUGAAAAAAACCAGAACCAUUCUCUGACAGGGAAAAAGAACCAACAAACACUGCCUUCCAUUUUGUCAAAAUCAGUGGAGCCAGGGUAUCUAUGAAGCCCUAGUUGCAUUGAAAUACAUGAACCAGGCUGCUAAGGACCAGAAGUCAGUCAGACAUCAUGAGAAAGGACUGGAGGCCGAAUGCUGCUUUUGCAGACAGGAGCAGUGCAGGAUAGGACCACUGACUGCACAG